GCGCAGGAAACUUGAGAGGAUCUGUCCCUAGUACGAGAGGACCGGGAUGGACAGACCUCUGGCGUACCAGUUGUUCCGCCAGGAGCAGCGCUGGGUACCUAUGUCUGGAGAGGAUAAGCGCUGAAAGCAUCUAAGCGCGAAACCCACCUCAAGAUAAGGUUUCCCACCCAUUUGAAGGGUGAGAUGUGAGAGGUAAAUAAUCUCACACCUCCUACAUCUCACCUUUCGGUGGGGUAAGACCCCUGGUAGACUACCAGGUAGAUAGGCCAGAAGUGUAAGCCGGGUGACCGGUUAAGCGGACUGGUACUAAUAGGUCGAGGACUUGACCUU
rnacentral:ncRNA from 1 species